rnacentral:rRNA from 1 species
UACGUAGGGUGCAAGCGUUAUCCGGAUUUAUUGGGCGUAAAGAGCGUGUAGGCGGCCAGACAGGUCCGUUGUGAAAACUCGAGGCUCAACCUCGAGACGCCGAUGGAAACCGUCUGGCUAGAGUCCGGAAGAGGAGAGUGGAAUUCCUGGUGUAGCGGUGAAAUGCGCAGAUAUCAGGAAGAACACCCGUGGCUAAGGCGGCUCUCUAGUACGGUACUGACGCUGAGACGCGAAAGCGUGGGGAGCGAACAGG